AGCGAACGCUGGCGGCAGGCCUAACACAUGCAAGUCGAACGGAUCCUUCGGGAUUAGUGGCGGACGGGGGAGUAACACGUGGGAACGUGCCCUUUGGUUCGGAACAACUCAGUGAAACUUGAGCUAAUACCGGAGGGGCCCUUCGGGGGAAAGAUUUUUCGCCAUUGGGGCGGCCCGGGUCUGAUUAGCUAGUUGGUGAGGUAACGGCACACCAAGGCGACGAUCAGUAGCUGGUCUGAGAGGAUGAUCAGCCACACUGGGACUGAGACACGGACCAGAAUCCUACGGAAGGGAGCAGUGGGGAAUCUUGCGCAAUGGGCGAAAGCCUGACGCAGCCAUGCCGCGUGAAUGAUGAAGGUCUUAGGAUUGUAAAAUUCUUUCAGCGGGGACGAUAAUGACGGUACCCGCAGAAGAAGCUCCGGCUAACUUCGUG
rnacentral:rRNA from 1 species